AACGAACGCUGGCGGCAUGCCUAACACAUGCAAGUCGAACGAGACCUUCGGGUCUAGUGGCGCACGGGUGCGUAACGCGUGGGAACCUGCCCUUAGGUUCGGAAUAACUCCCCGAAAGGGGUGCUAAUACCGGAUAAUGUCUUCGGACCAAAGAUUUAUCGCCUUUGGAUGGGCCCGCGUUGGAUUAGCUAGUUGGUAGGGUAAAAGCCUACCAAGGCGACGAUCCAUAGCUGGUCUGAGAGGAUGAUCAGCCACACUGGGACUGAGACACGGCCCAGACUCCUACGGGAGGCAGCAGUGGGGAAUAUUGGACAAUGGGCGAAAGCCUGAUCCAGCAAUGCGGCGUGAGUGAUGAAGGCCUUAGGGUUGUAAAGCUCUUUUACACGGGAUGAUAAUGACAGUACCGGGAGAAUAAGCUCCGGCUAACUCCGUG
rnacentral:rRNA from 1 species